rnacentral:rRNA from 1 species
UCUCAGCACACCCGUGAGACCCUUUACCUUCACCAGGCUAAGGAGCCGGCAUCAGACACAACCUCAGUCCACAACGCCUAGUCUCACCACACCCCCAAGGGUCAUCAGCAGUGAUAAAUCUUGAACAUAAGCGACAGCUUGACUCAGUCAGAGAAAAGAGGGCCGGCCAACCCGGUGCCAGCCGCCGCGGCUACCCCGUGGGGCCCAAGUUGAAGGUCAUCGGCGUUAAGCGUGAUUAAAGUCUAUUUAAAUUAAGAUCAAAUUAAUACUCAGUAGUUUAAAGCUCGCCAUUAAGAAGACCACAAACGAAAGUUAUCUUAACCCAACACUUGAAUACACGACAGCUGGGAAACAAACUGGGAUCAGAUACCCUACUAUGCCCAGCCGUAAACAAUUAACUCACACCCAUAAGCGCCAGGGAACUACGAGCCACGCUUAAAACCCAAAGGAUUUGACGGUGUCCCACCCCCCUAGAGGAGCCUGUUCUAUAAUCGAUGAUCCCCGCUAUACCCCACCACCCCUUGCUCGUCAGUCUGUAUACCUCCGUCGAAAGCUUACCAUGUGAACGUCUAUAGUAAGUUCAAUGACUCAACACGUCAGGUCAAGGUGCAGCUUAAGAGGUGGAAAGUGAUGGGCUACAAUUUCUAAUCUAGAACAAACGAAAGGCCAUGUGAAAUCGUGGCCACGAAGGCGGAUUUAGUAGUAAAAAGAAAAUAGAGUGUUCUUUUUAACCCGGCUCUGGGACGCGUA